UGGGGAAUAUUGGACAAUGGGCGCAAGCCUGAUCCAGCCAUGCCGCGUGAGUGAUGAAGGCCUUAGGGUUGUAAAGCUCUUUCACCGGAGAAGAUAAUGACGGUAUCCGGAGAAGAAGCCCCGGCUAACUUCGUGCCAGCAGCCGCGGUAAUACGAAGGGGGCUAGCGUUGUUCGGAAUUACUGGGCGUAAAGCGCACGUAGGCGGAUAUUUAAGUCAGGGGUGAAAUCCCAGAGCUCAACUCUGGAACUGCCUUUGAUACUGGGUAUCUUGAGUAUGGAAGAGGUAAGUGGAAUUCCGAGUGUAGAGGUGAAAUUCGUAGAUAUUCGGAGGAACACCAGUGGCGAAGGCGGCUUACUGGUCCAUUACUGACGCUGAGGUGCGAAAGCGUGGGGAGCAAACAG
rnacentral:rRNA from 1 species